CUCCUCUCAGGAUGGCACCUGGAGAGUUUCCAGUACUCUACCGGUCUCGGCUAUGGGAGGGAGGGUCAAGCAGAGGCAUUACACGUUCCAUUCCUAGCUUGGGCAGUGGCUAGCAAGUGUAAGGCAAUUUGCUACAAAU
rnacentral:snoRNA from 2 species